rnacentral:rRNA from 1 species
GCUCUAAUAGCGUAUAUUAAAGUUGUUGCAGUUAAAAAGCUCGUAGUCGGAUGUCGGGCUCGGGCAGGCUGUCGGCUUCGGUCGGACGGCAGGCUCGGGUCUUUCUGCAUGAGGAUCCGUUGCACUUUAUUGUGGGGCGUGGGGACACAUGCCGUUUACUUUGAAAAAAUUAGAGUGUUCAAGCAGGCCUACGCUUGAAU